ensembl:lncRNA
GUGGUGAAUAAGACCACUGGCAACAUUUGACCACUCCUGGUGUUGUCCGUGGAGAACACAUACACACACACACACACACACCCACAGAAUCACUAAAACACACACCCUCGCCCGCAUGUGCACAUAAACACUUAAGGAUGAUGAUCAUAUUUUUCAAGACUAUUGAACAUCAGUAUCAGUAGGACCUGAUCAUAGUCAACUGGUAUCUUUUCAAUAUCUGUUUGAAACUCAGAUUCAGAUUCAGAAAACAUUAUUGAUCCCAAGAAGGGCAAUUAAUUUGCAGCUUACCCAGUCCUGGGUCCAGGGCUGUCUGCUCUCUCCUGCUGGACUCUUCUAGAAAAACAAGAACCAGGAUUUAUGGACGUUUGUAAUUCUCUUUAAUACAUUUAUUUGAAGCAUGAUUGUUUUGACCAUGGAUACGAGCGCUGGGCUAACCCACAUAACAUUAUCUAUAGCUGUUUGGGUAAUCGGCUCAUCUAAUUGCAAGUUAGCAAGUUAAGCAAUUUAAUUUAUAUACCUUUUAGUCACGUGACUAAACGUGACUAAAGGUAACAUAGAUAAAACUUAAAGGCAUUAACUCCAUCGUGAACACUACUGGUGUUGUCCGUGGAGAAAUCACACACAUACUGUACACACACAAACACACACACACAGACACACACACACACACACACACACACACACACACACACACACACACACACACACACACACACACACACACACACUCACCUGUAUGUGCACACACACAGACUAUUGAACAUCAGUAUCAGUGGGAUCUGAUAAUAACCAACUAUGUAUCUAUUCAUUGUCUGUUUGAAACCAAGAUUCAGAUUCUGUCUACUUUAUUGAUCCCAAGAAGGGUAAUUCAUAUGCAGCUUACCCAGUCCUAUCACACAACUUAAAAUACUUGUAAGACUCACAGACAAGUCAAGAUAGUUAUAUGUCAGAGGCUACAGAUCAACAUGCAUAGGUCAGUACAAGGAGACAAAGAGACUAACACCUGUUAUGGUUCAUAUAAAUAACCAAGUUUAAAGGGUUGUAAGAGUUGUUUUAAAUUACUUCUGUCUGUGUUUACAGUUUUUCUCAAUCGUUUAAACACGUUUUCUGAAACUAUAGAUCAUUUUCUCAAAGCUCUAAACACUCACCUGAGAAGAGUUAAUCAUUUUGUCAAAACUACACAAAUUCUUCUCAAAAAUGUUUUUUUCCACCAAACAGUAAACACAGCUAUCAAAUGAAUAUCUCAUAGAGCAUCAAUUAAACAAUUGUGUGAUCAAUUCAAAACACUUCCAUCAAAAUGCUAUUUACAUAUGUUUUUGCCUUUAUGAGGUCAUGUUACAUAUUCCAAUGUAUAAAAUUGUUUAGAAAUAGCUUUCUUUUUUAAAGUUGCAAUCAGGUGGUACAAAUAGUAUAAAAACUGUUGCCAUAUUGUAAUACAAUACUGUGAAUAUAUCAUAUAAAUAUUGCAUUGACACAAUCAUAUCAGAAUAGGAUACAAUGCAUAUUUGUCUAUCCAAUAAGCUCCAAUGGGCUAAACUCACAAUCCCAGCUUCCCAGAGUCAUACUGUACACCUAUAGUUGAUGCUGCAACAUUGUUCUGACAAUACAUGUUACCUAUUUUGGUUAAUUACAGUACAGUACUGUAAUUGCACUGAUAAGUAAAAUGAAAAACACUAGUUCGAAAAUGUUUAGACUGUCUUUCGGGGAUGUAAUGAUGAAAUCAGUGCAAGUACAAGUACAAAAUGGUAACAAAGCAAAUAUAUAUAUUUUACUGUAAUACAGUCCAAUGUUCAGCUGUACUGACUGCAUAAAAAACCUUUCGUAGGCUACCAAAAAAUAAAAAUAAGAAUAUAAAUGAGGUGAAGCAGAUCUACAUGUAAAUCUGUAUGUAUCCCACCUCCAAUCCUGAUCAGGCCAAAGGACCAUAUCUACAACACAGUAGAGCUCACCGAGUCCUCUUUAAUGCUCUGACACAUGAUUGAAGUGUUUAGCCAGUUGAGUUUGAACAGGUGAGAAGUGAGUUAGACUUAUUGGCAAUAAGUUGUUGCGUUUUGAAGGCCAGUGUGAUCCAGGUGAACCAAGUGUGCUAAAUGAUGAGGCUUGUUCUUAGAGUUGAGCAAAAAUGUGAAAAGAGUGGAAUUGUGCUUAGAGUUUAGCAUUCUGGAGUAUUGUAGUUGAUACAUGACCUUCAAGUUUUCAGAAUUGUGUGCAUGGUUCCAUUUGUUGUGUUUAUACAAUCGAGAAAAACUGUAAUAGCCUGAUUGUGGAAGGAGUGAAGGACUUAGUGUAGCGGUUUGUCUUGCUUAGGGGCACCUUGUAACGCCAGCAUGAGGGCAUUACAGUGAAUUCACUGGAAAGAACAUGGUCCAAUUGACUCAU